UACGGGGGGGGCAAGCGUUGUUCGGAAUUACUGGGCGUAAAGGGCUCGUAGGCGGCCAACUAAGUCCGACGUGAAAUCCCCAGGCUUAACCUGGGAACUGCGUCGGAUACUGGAUGGCUUGAAUCCGGGAGAGGGAUGCGGAAUUCCAGGUGUAGCGGUGAAAUGCGUAGAUAUCUGGAGGAACACCGGUGGCGAAGGCGGAUCUCUGGGCCUGUUCUGACGCUGAGGCGCGAAAGCUAGGGGAGCGAACAGG
rnacentral:rRNA from 1 species